rnacentral:rRNA from 1 species
CCUACGGGAGGCAGCAGUGAGGAAUAUUGGUCAAUGGUCGGGAGACUGAACCAGCCAAGCCGCGUGAGGGAGGAAGGUACAGAGUAUCGUAAACCUCUUUUGUCAGGGAACAAAGGCGGGGACGUGUCCCCGGAUGAGUGUACCUGAAGAAAAAGCAUCGGCUAACUCCGUGCCAGCAGCCGCGGUAAUACGGAGGAUGCGAGCGUUAUCCGGAUUUAUUGGGUUUAAAGGGUGCGCAGGCGGUCUGUUAAGUCAGCGGUAAAAGCCCGGGGCUCAACCCCGGCCCGCCGUUGAAACUGGAAGUCUCGAGUUGGAGCGAAGUAUGCGGAAUGCGCGGUGUAGCGGUGAAAUGCAUAGAGAUCGCGCAGAACUCCGAUUGCGAAGGCAGCAUGCCGGCUCCACACGGACGCUGAGGCACGAAAGCGUGGGUAUCGAACAGGAUUAGAUACCCGAGUAGUC